GCCGGAGCCUGGGGAUCUCCGCCUGCGGCUUCCCGGGAGCUGAUCUCGGGCGCGCGGUGCCCGCUGACCGAGAGGCGGGAAAGGCGUCGUUCCGUCUUGGACGGUCGGAGUCCCGGUAGCUGUCGAACUGAGGAGCAUGAUUUUGUUUUAUUUCUACAGGGUUGGCAUGAAGAACUCAGACCGCAGCAGCAGCAGCAGCACCCUGCUGUUCUGGCAGCAAAUAUUUUCUUGAACACCAACUUUGGGCCCAAUGUAGUUCCAAGCACUGAGGACAGAGCAGUGAAAAACUGGCAAAAACCCUUGACCUCAUGUACUUUUCCUUCUACUAUGGAGAUAGUUAUCAAGAAAAACAUGCUCUAUCCAACGGUCAUGGUGGCAAAGAGUAAAACAAAGCGUGGAAGGGGAGCGGGUUGCAGUUUUAAAUGGCGUGGUCAGAGGAGCUCCGCACCAAGGCGGCUGAGCCAGGACCAGAAGGCGGGAGGGAGUUCACCACCUGAUACUAGGGAAGAGCUCUCCAGACCCUGGGAAACUGGAAGAGGAGACACUUUGGGGCCUGCACCGGCCCAUUGCCCAGAAAAAAGAAAAAAUAUGCAUUUCAAGAACAGACAAGGGCAGAAUGCAUUUUGAUUUGGUUGCUGUGCCUGGAGGCUGAAUCCCCAUCCGGGAGUUUACUUCAAGAAUGCCGACCAUCCUCAGGUCCUAGGAACUGGCAGAACUGGGUUUUCACACCAUUGAAAAUUAACUACCCUGUUAUCAGACUUCAAGAUCCUGGAAGGAGACACACAGACCACAGACCCUGAGGACAUCCUCCCAACUCCGCCCCCCCUGCACGCAGCCUUUCUUCCUUGUGCCCUAUUUAAUCAGCCAGCCAGUAAGGGGGGGGGGCAGAGCAGAUUUUAUGUGGACAAACCCCACUUCUCUCCCUUUUUUUGCCAGCUAUAAUGGAAUGUUCAAAUGAUUCAACCUUGUCUCUGCUUAAUUGGCUGAAGUAGCGACAGGCAGCCCAGACCCAUUGUGUCCAGUCUCACUCAUACGUGUGGAAUUAAAUACUAGCAAUUCCCACAAUUGAGAAAUGGAGAGGCAAGGCACCCCCAGAAUAUUUGAAAAAAAGUUAGGCCCAGAAAAGGAAGAGCAGAAAGGAACUACAGGAUCUAGAGCAACUUUGUUUCCCUGUUAGCACAUGCUUCCUCUCUGUUACCUGUAUUGCUCUAUUGGCACCAAAAUCUUCCCACGUGUUCUACCCCCUCAAAAACAAAUAGAAGCCGUUCUGCACAGUAGUAGAGAGAACAGGCCUGGAUUUAAAAUCAGGCUCUGCCACACUAGCUGGGUGACCUCAAGCAAGUCUAUAAAACGGGGAUCCCUCCACCUGCCCUACAGGGUUUACACAUCACAUAGCAACUCCAUAACCAGCUCCUUUUAUUUGUCCCCAGAAGACAAGGUGUUAUUGUUCAGUGUUGGGAGUGUUAUCUUUAAAAGGGAGAGGAUCGCCCCAGCCUCAGCCGGUGUGGCUCGGUUGGUUGAGUGUUGUCUGGUGCACCAGAAGGUCACUGGUUGGAUUCCCCUGGGCUCCAUUCCUUCCCCAGUGCCACCGCUCACCUUCCACCUUUGACUCCUCUACAGGACUCACCCCCAAACGCCACUCUUCUUCCUUCCUUGCUUCCAUAACCUCCAAGCUUCCUUCUCUUCCUUUCUCUUCCCCCUUUCUGACUGGCCACCCUGCUCCAGGACGCGUUACUGCAGCACAAACGGCCACCACCCCACGCUCCAAGUUUCUCACUUAUGUUUACUGCCCUGGAAACUUUUUUAACGGAAAACCAGGGAAGGACAGAGGACUCCCCAGUAAAUUUAAAGUGUACUUGUGGAGAGGAGGCUGACUCAUUCAGAUUUCAGCAACUGUAAAGUUAACUCUCCUCUGUACAGAUUUUAAUUAUAGACCUGACUCAACUAGGAAUGGUACUAAGGCAAAAAGAAAUAUGCAUAAAUCCAUGGUAAUACCUUGCCAUAAUUAUGACACAAUAUUCUAAUCAUGUACAAAGUAGUAGAAUAAAUGACCUCACCUAGCCAAAUGUUUCAACUUGUAAAAGUAUGGGACAACUAUAAAGAAUGGAACAAUUUGUUCUUUUCCCAUGGGUGGCUGGACACAAUCCAGAGAGUCAGGAAAUUCAUGAACAGCUUGGCCAGUGGAAUCCAGCUGAAAUUCAAAGUGUGCAAAUUAAAAGACUAGGAGAAGUGAACCUGCCUAUUCUAAUACUUAGAUGGAACUUAAAUCAUUCGAGAGACUCAUUAAAAACCUUCAGAAUUGCUUGUAACAGUA